rnacentral:lncRNA from 1 species
AUAAGCAGAUAUGAUGCAGGAGAGAGCAAUACACAGGAGUGAAAUGAUACAAGGUCUUCAAGAAACAAGGACAUCUGAAAACAAGGAGGAGGUUGGAAGGGUUCAAGAUCAUCCUGAAGAAUAAGGAGCGGCACCAUCCCAGGCUGGAUUCUGUGUACUUCUCCCUCCCCGUGACACUGCAGCUGCCGCGUCCUGCUCUCUUUCCCUUCCUGCUCUCGGUAAAACCACAAGAUGCAGCCAGACUGUUGGGUUAUCAGCCAGUGGUGCACUUCCGUGAAGUAGUUCAGUCCACAAAAGGCAGAAUGAUAGACGAUUCAAAUGCAAGCGUUUUGGCCCUGAUCCAUCUAACGUGUGGUUCAUAUUGAAACCUCAAAAACAUUCAGGGAGCUGAGAAGUAUUUUAUGUGCUGAGGAAGAAUGGGGAAUGGGGGCAGUUGCCCCACUGUUAGAGCAGGUUAAGAGGAAUAGAACUCUCCUUCUCUCCUUGAAAAAGGCACAAGAUACAAAAAAAUAGCGAGGAGUCUUUCACGGAGGAUAAUGGCUGGACUCUCAUUUCAAAUGCAGCUCCAGGUAGAAAUCCUUGCAUGCCUGCUCUUUUUCUAGGCCCUCCAGGAUGGCCAGACCCUGUACGUUUGGUCAUUUUAGAAUCCCCACCAACGAACACCGUCCCUGGCAUAUAGUAGACACUCAUUAAAUACUUGUAUAAAUGUAAUGGGCACCCAAAUGCCAUAAUUCCUCCCUGCCUGUGCAUUUUACAAUUUUUUUGUUGUUUUUAAAUAGCUAUUGCAAUCCUCAGAAUACAACUGGUCCGCUCAAAAUAACCCGGACAGCCUGGCCAGGCAGGGGCUCAGAGCACAGAAUACCAGAAAAUGUAUGUGGUGUUUAUCAUUCUUCAGACCCACGUUCCACGCCGUGUCCACGCCUCUAAAGGAGGAAUGCUGGAGUAGCCAGAGCUGUUUUCCUAUUGUAUAGAGGAAACUGAGGCCCAGAGAGGGUGAGUAACUGGCCCAAGUUCUCUCAGUUUUAGAGCGGAUGGGCCAGAACUCUUGGAAUUUUGGAAAGAGCCUGAGCUAACCAGAGUUCAGACUAGGGCUCUGCUGCUUAGAAAUAACCUGGAUAAGAUCUGCGAUCUCUUGGGGCCUCGUCUUCUUUCUCUAACAUGGAAAAAUGAUGCCUAUGUCACAGAAUGAUUCUAUUCCAAAGACUGAAUUAAAAUAGGUAAUGAAAAUAGGGUGAUAUAGGAAAGCGUGUACACAUUAGAUACACAAAAAUAAUAGUUUCCUCCUCCUACCCCCAGAGUGGAAACAAUUUUUUGAAGGUGAUAAAACUUUCUGUUGGUUAAUUUAAAAAAAAAAUUUUGUCUGAAAAUAAAGAGCACAAUCCAUAAUAAAUCA